rnacentral:rRNA from 1 species
UACGGAGGAUGCGAGCGUUAUCCGGAUUUAUUGGGUUUAAAGGGUGCGUAGGCGGGACCUUAAGUCAGCGGUAAAAUUGCGGUGCUCAACGCCGUAGAGCCGUUGAAACUGGGGUUCUUGAGUGAGCGAGAAGUAUGCGGAAUGCGUGGUGUAGCGGUGAAAUGCAUAGAUAUCACACAGAACACCGAUUGCGAAGGCAUCUGACGAAUCGGAGAUUGACGCUGAUGCACGAAAGCGUGGGUAUCGAACAGG